AUUGAACGCUGGCGGCAGGCCUAACACAUGCAAGUCGAACGAGUGGCGGACGGGUGAGUAAUGUCUGGGAAACUGCCCGAUGGAGGGGAAUAACUACUGGAAACGGUAGCUACUCCCGCCUACCUUCGGCUGUACCCAGCUGGGUUUAGCUGGUAGGUGGGGUAACGGCUCACCUAGGCGACGAUCCCUAGCUGGUCUGAGAGGAUGACCAGCCACACUGGAACUGAGACACGGUCCAGACUCCUACGGGAGGCAGCAGUGGGGAAUAUUGCACAAUGGGCGCAAGCCUGAUGCAGCCAUGCCGCGUGUAUGAAGAAGGCCUUCGGGUUGUAAAGGACGUUCAGCGGGGAGGCGUUACCCGAAGAAGAAGCACCGGCUAACUCCGUGCCAGCAGCCGCGGUAAUUC
rnacentral:rRNA from 1 species